GAUGAACGCUGGCGGCGUGCUUAACACAUGCAAGUCGAACGUGAGAAUAGCAAUAUUUGAAAGUGGCAAACGGGUGAGUAACACGUGGGAACCUGCCUCGAAGUGGGGGAUAACGAUUGGAAACGGUCGCUAAUACCGCACGGUUCUGCUCUGAUGGGAAUGGAGCAGAUAAAGAUUUAUCGCUUUGAGAGGGGCCCGCGGCCGAUUAGCUAGUUGGUAAGGUAAAGGCUUACCAAGGCGAUUAUCGGUAGCUGGUCUGAGAGGACGAUCAGCCACACGGGAACUGAGACACGGUCCCGACUCCUACGGGGGGCAGCAGUGAGGAAUAUUGGGCAAUGGGCGAAAGCCUGACCCAGCAACGCCGCGUGGAGGAUGAAGGCUUUAGGGUUGUAAACUCCUUUUGUGGGGAAAAGAAUGGAUGGUACCCCAAGAAUAAGUCACGGCUAACUACGUGCCAGCAGCCGCGGUAAGGCGUAUGUGU
rnacentral:rRNA from 1 species